rnacentral:rRNA from 7 species
UGCAGAAUCCCGUGAACCAUCGAGUUUUUGAACGCAAGUUGCGCCCGAAGCCAUUUGGUUGAGGGCACGUCUGCCUGGGCGUCACGC